rnacentral:lncRNA from 1 species
UUAAGCAAGUAAUUUCCCAAAAGAGGGGUUCGAAACUCCGUGCAUGCUUUUUUGGUUGAGCUCCUUGCUAGUGGCGAAACCAAAAUUUUCACUAAGGAUAUAAGAAUAUAAAAAAGGUAAAUUUCCAAAAAAAAACAAAGAAUAUCAAUAUGUAAUAUAUAUAUACAUAAAAAUCUAUGUUUCUACCGAGCUAUAUAAUGUAAUUAAUCGAUAAGGGUGUCGGUUGACGUCCCUCAAUUACAUAUGGCUUCGCCACAACUCCUCACACGAGGCUGGUCUAGUGUGAUUUACCUCUUCCAUGUGGAUUACGGAUUAUUACACUCAAAUAGAGUUUAUCCUCAACACAUCAAAAAAAUAACAACUGCAGUUUCCCGUUUAAAAAAAAAAGGAAAAAGAAAAAGGGACACUGCCGCAUAAAAUAAAAUAGAGGAAGUAUCCAAAAGCAAAUUUAUUCUCAGUUUCUUUACUGCAUGUGAAGCCACUUAAUAGAAAGUAUUCCCUCAAUGGUCUUACUAAUUCUGCUAUUUUGAGAUUCUUACAUAACAUACUCUUACCCACUUCACUUGUUCUUUUUUCUUGCUGAAACAACAAAGAUCACUAGCUUAGUUUUGUUCUGCUUUGGAAAGAUUGCACCAUCAGCUACUUAAUUUACUCUGAAGAAAUCAGGUAAUUAAGUUCACAUCUCUCAUUCUUCAGCUUGGUAGAACAAAAUCACACAUCAAAAAUCUUUAGUCUGUAUUUGUUUUUCCUGCAUCUCCCCCUUUCUUUUUUCAAGUUUCUUGUUUAGCUCUAUUACGGGACAUGAGCUAGAAUUCACUUAAUGUGAUGAGUGUGUAUAAAUGGACAUUUAAAUUUGUAUAAAAGUUGACACAGUGUCUUACGUGGAGUCUCAAUUGAAUUGCCAUGUCGGAUAUCAUAUAGAACGCGUAUAUUUAUUUAUUCAACUUUAAGUACAUACUUAUGUACAUUCAAAUUUAAAGAAUGUACGUAGAUAUCUGUUAAAGUCAAGUUAAAGAUAUAUUUAUGUAUUAUAACGUUUAAGAAUACUGGUUCCUCCACUACCUUAACUUGUUCCAUUUGUCAAGUGAAUACUUUGACAAAUAUUUAGGUUCAGGUGCCGCGCAAAUUUUCAUACAAAUAUCCCAAUCCGAUUGAUCUUCUUCGGAGUCGAACUUUUGCUUGUCUUCAUAUUUCUCAGAUACAGAUAUUUCAUAUUUGAUGACUUUGACAAUUUCAACUAGCUAUGUGUUUUUUCGUUUGAAAAUAAAUUUACUCCAAUCUGAUACAUAUAUCAAAGUUAUUUAAUUUAGCUUUAUAAGUCAAUAUUGUGUAAUUACUGUUCAUAUCUGUGUUCAUGAAAAGUAAUUAGUUUAAUAGUAAAAAAACAUAAACAUAAAAAGUUAUUUUUGUGUGUCCUUAAAGAUUUUUAAUUCUUAUUUAGCGUAAAUUUCAAUUAAUUACAAUUUAUAGUCCUAUCUUCCCUAUUUAUUAUCUCUAAUUACAAUUCAUAGUGUCUUUCAUUUAUUUUUUCUCUUUCUCUAUUUUUUAUUACUCUUUUUUUUUUUUCCUUUUGCAGUUUUUUUCUCCAUUUUAUCUUUUUCUUUUUUUUUCUCUUUCUUUUUUCCCUUUUUUUCUUUUCACUUAUUUUUUUUUCAUUUUUUCUUUCUUUUUCUUUUUCUUUUUUUCUUUUCCUUUACAUUUUUUCUCCUUCCUUUUUUUUCUUUUCUUGUAUUUUUUCUCUCAUUUUUUUUUUGUUGUUGUUAGAUUUUAUAUUUUAUAUUUAUUUAUAUCAUGCUAUAUAUUUUAAAUAAAUUUAUUAUUUGAAGUUGAAUAAUUUAACAGUGAAUACGUAUAAUUUAUUAUUUGUAUUUGUAUAAAAAAAUAUAUGGAUUAAUUGUAUUUAUUUGAGUAUUAAAUAUAUAACUAUACAAUGUGUCAUUCAAAUUAAUGCAAAUGUAUCGUUAGUAUUUACAUUUCAUAUUUAUUAUUUGUAUUUAUAUAUAAGCAAAUAUCAUUUUGUAUGCGUAUGGUACAAGUUGUAUAAACAUGUAUCAUUUGAUGCAAUGUAACAUUUGUAUUUGUAGAAUUUAUUAUUUUAUAAAUACAAGUAUUCGUAGAAAGAAAAAUAAAAAUUCUUUUACAAUUGUUUAAAAAUACUAAUGAUCUUACCAACUACAAACAAAUGAAACAAAUUAAAUUACAAAUAAAAAUAUAAUAUGCGGUCAACUUACAAAUAUAAAUACAAAAUAGUUUUUGAAAAAUACAAGUGCAUCGAUAAAAAUAAUACACAAAUACAAAUAAAAUGAAAUCACAAAAUAUAAGUACAAUGUCCAGUCAAUUAUAAAAUACAAAUACAAAAUAAUUCCUUAAAAUACAAGUGUGAAUUGUAUAAAAUAUAAAUGAUGGUGUGAACUAGCAAACACAAAUACAAGUGUGAACUAUAGAAUAUAAAUAUAAAUGCGACCAACAAACAAAUACAAGUGCGAACUAUAAAAUACAAAUACAAAUGCGAACUAUAACAUGCAAAUACAAGUGUGAAUUAUAAAGUACAAAUAGAAAUGCGAACUACAAAAUGCAAAUACAAAUAUAAUUGUAUUAACGAAUACAAAAAUAUAAAUGAUGAUGUGAAUACAAAUACGAUAAGCAAUUGUGGUAUUUUUGCUAUUAUUCAUGAUCUGUACUUGAGUAGCCAUAUUUUUCAAAAAUACAAAAAUAUAAGAUAGAAAAAAAAAUACAAAAAAGAAAAAAGAAUGAAAAGAACAAAAAUAAAGAAAGUAGAUAGAAGAUAGAGAUAGAAAAAAAGAAAAAGAACGAAAAAAAUGAAAAAAAAAAGAAGAAAAAAGAAGAAAAAAAAGAAAAAACACGAAAAAAAAUACAAAAAAUGAAAGAAAGAAUCGAAAAAUAAAAUAAAACGACAAUAGGAAAAAAAAUCAAAAAGUAAAAGAAAAAAGAAUAAAAUAAAAAAAAUGAUGGUAAAUGCAAAUACAAUGCGCGGUUAUGAUAUUUUCGUCGUCAUCCAUGACUUGUAUUAAUUAUAUUUUUUGACAAUAAAAAAAAUAUAAAAUAUAAAAUAUGAUUAAUGUAUUUAUGUUUUAUAUGAAUACAGACUAUUGAGUAAAAGUGAAGAGCGGAUGUAAAUUGAAUGCAUCGAUUAUAAAUGGUAAUAUUGUAAAGUGUAACUAUAGAAGGUUAAUUUUGUGUCAACUAUUGUUGUUUUUUUUAAAUUUCUCCUUUGUAAUUCUCACGUUACUAUCAAAUAUAUACAGAUUAAUUCCUCACAUGAUGGGAUGGGAAAACUAUUCUGUAAAAGAUGACACUUCAAUUUACGAAAAUUUGGCUAACUCAUCGGGCGGACCUAGGUAUUAAUUUAUGGCGCUUUGACAUUCGUUAAAUCCGACACAAAUUAGAUAUAAUUAUAUAAGAAAUAUAUAAAAGUUAAAGUAUAAUUAUAUAAGAAGAUAGUUGGGUGCUUUGAUUUUCAGAAAGAACUUUAAAACUUUGGAUAUCGAUAUAUAUAUUUAAAUUUUUUAAUCACUCACGACCCCUAAAUCCUGAGCGCUCUAACUCAAAUAGUGGUGCAAAUGACACGACUCUGCAAUUUUUGUUUUUUAAAACAAAUGUAGAGAACAGUUUAGAGGGGAGAAAGAAUUUUGAUUUCUAUAUGAUUAGUGUCUAAAAGAGCCACCAAUAUGAGUUGUGGUGCAGUGGAUGAGACUAUUUCAUUCUUAAUUAGAAGUCGAAAGUUCGACCCUAGGUAUAGAGAAAACUGUAUUGGGAGCACUGCCACCUUAAUAGACCCUGCAAUGCACGAUACGAAUUAGUCGGGGAUCCAAUGCGAGUACCGAACACCGGAUGGAAACAAAAAAUAAGUGUCUAAAAGAGUCUAGGCCUCUUAAUUUAUAGUUAAUGAAAAACUGGAAUGUAAAGUUGCGUGUUUUUAUGAUGGCAUAAUACAUAAUAUAAAUAUGCCUUUUAACUUGCUCUCAAAUUACAUCUAUGACCUUCAACUUCGGGAGUGUGCAAGUAGGCACUUAAACUUGUAUAAAGUUGAACAAGUAGACACACGUCUUAUGUAGCAUAAUACCCGUAGGACGCCAUGUAGGAUAAGAAUUGGUUACAUAGGACGUCACGUAUGACAUAUGUGUCUACUUGUUCAACUUUAUACACGUUUAAGUAUCUACUUGUGCAAAAAAAAGUUGGAGAUCAUAGAUGUGAUAUGAGGUCAAAUUAAAAAGGCAUGUUUAUGUAUUUUGCCUUCUAUCAUUUCUCAUUCACAUCUUAAAACUGGUAAUUAUGCAACUUUUUUUUUUUGGUAAAGUAAUUAUACAACUUAAUAAUUACAAAAACAUGUCUAUUUAUUUGUCGUAAUUUAAUUUCAUUGUAAUUACAAACGUAAUGGCUGGUUUCACAAAUAUAAUUACAUAAUUUACUUUUUAAAAACAAAAAUUAAUUAUAAAAACCUAGACGUGUAACGUUGACAAAUGUGUCUAUACUAGAGAUUUUAUUACUUUUAUUCAAUAAAACUACGAAUUCAAGGUACAUGUUAUUUUUUUAAAAAUAUAGUAUCAAAUAAUAAAAUAUUUAUAACUAAUAUUAUAAAAAAAUAAUUUGCAAGAUCUAAUAAAUUUGUAGGAACAAAAUAAAUGAUAUAUAAUUUUGAAAUAACUAAUAAAUUUAUUGAAUUAAUUACUAACUUUUUUAAGAAAGAACACAAUUUGCAAGAACAUGAUGAACUGCAUAUUUGAUUAAAAAAAAUGUUUACAAUCAUAAUUUUAUAACACUAUUCAAAUGUUUAAUAAAAGGUAAUCUAUUAAUUCUAACAUCACUCUAUCUAAAUCAAGUUUGUAGAUAACCUCAUGGAGUGAUGAUAUCAAAUAUAUGAAUUUUAUUUUAAAAAUAUUAUUCACGAGUUUUUAAUUAUUGUUUCCGCAAAACAUGUGUGUCUAGACCGAUGGCGAUGUGUGUUUGACAAUUAAGAAAGUGAUUGAUAAGAUAAUUAAAAGAAAUAAUGGAUAGUUGAGAUAUAAAACUUGUAGAAAUAUGAUAGUUUAGAUUUGCAAUUAACUCUAAAAAUUCUUUCCAAAAAUCAUAAUUUCAUAAGAAAUUAUCUAUGUAACACUCUAAAUUUCUUAUGCAAGCACCAGCAGGUGCUUUUUAAGUAUAUUUUCUAUUAACGUCAAGUGUGUUAAAUAGAAAAAAAUUAUGUGUGCAUUAGUUUUGUGUAUUAUCAAUGGCUUGUUUGAUAUAUUUUCUUAAUCUGUGUAUCAUAUUAGAUCAUAUACUUUAUUUGGUACUACUACACUUUGCAUACCAAAUACAUGACAAAUUAUGGCAAUAGUAAUGUAAGGAAUUUUAAUAUAUGCAUUAGUUGGUUAAACAGAUAAUUGUUCCUUACAAUAUUUUUCGUAUCCGUCCUGUUGUAUUUGUGGAUGGUAUUUAUAAAUAUUUUUAAAAAAAUUAUAUAAUAUAUAUUAUUCAUAAUAAUACAUCAAACCAAAUAAUACAUAGAAAAUAACUUCAAUAUAACUAAUAUCAACAUUACUAAUGCACUCUAACACUAUUCAUGUGCACCCUACCAAACUAUACUUUCAUGUGUUGAAUUAGUAUUGCCUGUACUCUUUUUAUCCUCUGUAGUCUAUUCAACACUAAUCAUAUGCACCUCUUCUGUUUAUCUUUUUCUUAUUUUUUUCUGUACUUCCUGUUGCCCUCUGUAGUCUUUAUCUCUUGUUGUUCUGAGUGAUUUUUCAUCUGUCAAUUAGUAUGUCAUAGUUUUAGCUGUUCUAUAUUAGGAUUCUUUUUUUAUUCUACAAUUUUAGGAGGUUUCUUAUAACUUUCACUAAAAUGAUUAUUUUUUAAAAUAGUGUCAUGGGAUAGCCACUUUCUUAUUUUAAUUUCACCAAUUAGUCAUUUUUUAAAACUGUAUAGAAUACGUAUAGAAACUAUAUAAUUGUUAUGUAGAAUAUGCAUCGAUAUAAGAUAAAUAUAAGAACUAUAUAGUAAUUGUAUAAAAUAUGUAUAUAUAAGAUAUACGUAUAUAUAGAAUAUAUAUGUGUGUGUGUAUGUAUAAUUGUAUAAAAAAUAUAUCAUUAUUGUAUAGAAUAUGUAUGUAUAAGAUAUACAUAUAGAACAAUGAUUGUGUUAUAAGGACUGUAUCAAUAUGGUAAGUAAUGUAUUAAUAUGGUAUAAGAACUACAUAUCUGUAGGUUUAUUAGUAUAAACUAUAUGAAUGUGGUAUUGAAACUGUAUGAAUGUUGUAUAGAAUAUGUUGAUACAUAAAAUAUAGGUAUAGAACAAUGAAUGUGGUAUAGAGACGUACCAAUAUGGUAUAGGAGUUGUAUCAAUAUGAUAUAAGGAUUGUAUCAAUAUGAAUAAUAUAUGAUGUUAUUUUUGUAUUAUAAAAUAUUUGUAUGUGUAUAGAAUGUGCAUAAAAACUAUAUUAUUGUUGUUUAAAAAUAUUUAUGUCACUAUUGUAUUAUAUUUUAUAUAUGUAGAUAUGUGUUGUAUUAUUUCAAUAUAAUACAAUUAAAAGAAUAGUUUUUAGAAAAAAAAAAAAGCAAAAAAGGUAUAAAAAACACAAAAGAGCAACAAUGUUUUUAUAACAAAAUGAAGCAGCAAAAUUUUUAAAAAGUGAAGCAAUAAAAAAAAUAACCAACAAAAUUUCAAAAAAAUGAACCAACGAAAUUUAAAAAAAAAAUUAAGUACGGUAACAAUUUUUUUGUUUUUAAAAAGAAGGCAGUAGUUACAAAAGGUCUAAAUGGCUAUUUAGCGGAAAUGCCAAAUCAAUGACUCGUCGGUGGCAAUUCUUUUGGCCGACUGGCCACUUUUAUCCUUUCCCCAUAUAUAGACGUACUAUUUAAUUAGCUCAACUAAUAUUUACAUUUUCUAACUGUGGACAAGUAGACACUCAAACUACUAUAUCGUAGAAUAGUUAGACACACAAAUUUAGUAGAUAUUUGGCCAUGAAUAUUUUUCAAAAUAUUAAUUAAGUGUACGUGUUUUGCGUGUGUAUCUCACGUCAAUUAAUUAAAUUAUUUAUAAAAAGAAUAAAAAUUAUUAAAUCGUAAAACAACAAUUGAUGUUAUUGAUUUCAAAGUCUUAAAUAUCAUGAAAAUCAUUAAAUAAUUAUUUCUUAAUGUUAGAAAUUAAUUAAAUGAUACUGUCAAGACAAUAUCACAAUUUGUGAGUCAAUAUUUCAAGUACGUAUAAUGAAAUAUGUUUCUCAGCGAAACUUAAAGAAAAUCAGAAAUACUCAUUACAAAUAAAUAAAUGAGAUUCAUCAACGCAGCUCACAACUUUACAAGCAUAUGAAUACCUAAAGUGUGUGUGCACAUUGCAAUUAGUCAACAAUUUUUUUUUGUUAAAUCAAUACUGCAAGUACGCAGUCAAUGAAAUUUUACUAUAGUUAUCUAAUAUUUCAAUUCAAUUCGAAUAAAUUAACUAAUAAUACAAUUGCAAGUCAUAAUUUUUGAGUACUUCAAUUCAGUUUUUUAUUGAUUUUCAUAUUUCACCGCGUCCGACCCCCGCUAGGGAGUUGGUUUUAGAGAAAAUGGGUCUUUCCAAUUAAAGUAACGUUUUGAAAAGGAAUUAUUUUAUUUACAGAGUCGCCA